GACGAACGCUGGCGGCGUGCUUAACACAUGCAAGUCGAACGGAAAGGCCCUGCUUUUGUGGGGUGCUCGAGUGGCGAACGGGUGAGUAACACGUGAGUAACCUGCCCUUGACUUUGGGAUAACUUCAGGAAACUGGGGCUAAUACCUGAUAGUACCUCCUGCUGCAUGGUGGGGGUUGGAAGGUUUCGGCGGUUUGGGAUGGACUCGCGCCUUAUCAGCUUGUUUGUGGGGUAGUGGCUUACCAAGUCUUUGACGGGUAGCCGGCAUGAGAGGGUGACCGGCCACAAUGGGACUGAGAUACGGCCCAGACGCGUACGGGAGGCAGCAGUGGAGAAUAUUGCACAAUGGGCGGAAGCCUGAUGCAGCAACGCCGCGUGCGGGAUGACGGCCUUCGGGUUGUAAACCGCUUUCGCCUGUGACGAAGCGUGAGUGACGGUAAUGGGUAAAGAAGCACCGGCUAACUACGUG
rnacentral:rRNA from 1 species